GAAGAUUUGAAGCCACUGAAAAUUGAUGAAAAGAUUGAGUAUAAAGAUUGUAUUGAAGAAAUUCACAAGUUCUACAAAAGCUAUGCUGAAAAAAUGAGAAAAUUGGAUAUCUUGAAUUACCAGACCUUGAAUGCUAUCAGUCUACAAAAGCUAUGCUGAAAAAAUGAGGAAAUUGGAUAUCUGGAAUUACCAGACCUUGAAUGCUAUCAGUAAGUUUCAAACUAUUUACCACUUUUAGCUCUUUUGGUAAAUAAAAAAAAAUAAACUUCUAUCUUUAGUUGUUUCUUUGUCCGUUCACUUUUACUUUUCUAUUAUAUUAAAAACGGUUAAGGGUCGGAUUUGCCCUUGUACUAUUCAAAAUAAGCUACAUUUAUCCUCCGUUUGAAUUCUUUAACAAAUAUACCCCCACCGUUACAUAUUCGGGCCACAUAUACCCUUCCACC
rnacentral:lncRNA from 1 species